rnacentral:rRNA from 1 species
ACGCUCGACACCUACUGGAGGCAGCAGUGGGGAAUAUUGCACAAUGGGGGAAACCCUGAUGCAGCGACGCCGCGUGAGCGAAGAAGUAUUUCGGUAUGUAAAGCUCUAUCAGCAGGGAAGAAACUGACGGUACCUGACUAAGAAGCACCGGCUAAAUACGUGGCAGCAGCCGCGGUAAUCUGAGCGGGCUGGCAAGGC